rnacentral:rRNA from 1 species
AGUGAACGCUGGCGGUAGGCCUAACACAUGCCAGUCGAACGGCAGCACAGUAAGAGCUUGCUCUUACGGGUGGCGAGUGGCGGACGGGUGAGGAAUACAUCGGAAUCUACUUUUUCGUGGGGGAUAGCGUAGGGAAACUUACGCUAAUACCGCAUACGACCUACGGGUGAAAGCAGGGGAUCUUCGGACCUUGCGCGAUUGAAUGAGCCGAUGUCGGAUUAGCUAGUUGGCGGGGUAAAGGCCCACCAAGGCGACGAUCCGUAGCUGGUCUGAGAGGAUGAUCAGCCACACUGGAACUGAGACACGGUCCAGACUCCUACGGGAGGCAGCAGUGGGGAAUAUUGGACAAUGGGCGCAAGCCUGAUCCAGCCAUACCGCGUGGGUGAAGAAGGCCUUCGGGUUGUAAAGCCCUUUUGUUGGGAAAGAAAAGCAGCAGGUUAAUACCACGCUGUUCUGACGGUACCCAAAGAAUAAGCACCGGCUAACUUCGUG